rnacentral:lncRNA from 12 species
CCCCCCCCCCCCCCCCCCCCCCCCCCCCCCCCCCCCCCCCCCCCCCCCCCCCCCCCCCCCCCCCCCCCCCCCCCCCCCCCCCCCCCCGCCGCCGGGCCGGGCCGCGCCGGCUCCUUCCCCGCGAGGGCGGCGGCGGAGCGGGGAGAGGCCGCGGCUUUGCCCCAGAACUCACGGCGCAGUGCUGGGGACGGCGCUUUAGAAGCCGGAUUUGUGAAUAGGGCCGGAUAAGUGGACUCGCAGCCCCGCGCAUGUCGAGAUUGCAGAUGUUCGCAAACAUUACGCGUCCACAGCCUUGCCCGUGUUAAACAUCUACUGAAUGCACAGGACAGGCACCACUUUCUUCCUGAAGCUUUUGGAUUGGAAUAUGGGUAUCUUCAAUGUAUGGAAUCUAGUUCUGUUACUCAUUCUGUCUAUUAUUUUCAAUUAAUUCUUGUCCUAAGCAAUGAGGCUUUUGCUGUGGCAGAAAGAUAUUUGCUCUGAAGGACAGAUGGCAGCAGCCCUUUUAUCCCCACCUUUGCAAUGAAUCUAGAUCUGCUGCAGAAUGUUUCAAGAGUAUGCAAAAAAUGCUACCAGUAGCAGCUUGAGAGAAGCUUACUCUGUACUCAUGUACAGCAGCUUUAUAGGGCUCUGGAAACUGCAAAACCUGCUCUUUUAUAGAGACCUGGUGACCCUCAGCCAAAUUCUGCAGGACUAGUAUCAAUGUCCUUCUUGUUAGUGCGUCCAGCUUCAGGAUCAAAUGUGGUAACUGCUGAAAGACGUCUAGCCUCAACCAAAAAAAACUCUGCAGAGAAAGUGCAUCAGUUCACUGCGCAGCUGCAUGGACAUGGAUGCCAGCUCAGGAGAGAAGAUCAGAGGUUUAGCCACUGCACACCCAGAAGCUCCCCCCCCUUCACCUCAGCAAAGCACCCUGGUGUCUCCACAAAUGGGGGAAAAGUUUAGAGUCUUUAUCCUUUAACAGUUCAGUCUCUCACAGGUAUGUCCAGCUAGAAUCCUGUUACACCAGAAUCUGAGUCCCAGUGACAUUCAGUGCAAUACAAUACUGCCAGUGGCAAGUACAAUACAAACCAGUGCUGGAUUUGCU